UACGUAGGGUGCAAGCGUUAUCCGGAAUUAUUGGGCGUAAAGAGCUCGUAGGCGGUUUGUCGCGUCUGCUGUGAAAACUGGAGGCUCAACCUCCAGCCUGCAGUGGGUACGGGCAGACUAGAGUGCGGUAGGGGGAGAUUGGAAUUCCCGGUGUAGCGGUGAAAUGCGCAGAUAUCGGGAGGAACACCGGUGGCGAAGGCGGUUCUCUGGGCCUGUACUGACGCUGAGGAGCGAAAGCGUGGGGGAGCGAACAGG
rnacentral:rRNA from 1 species